rnacentral:rRNA from 1 species
UACAUGGGGUGCAAACGUUGCUCGGAAUUAUUGGGCUUAAAGCGCACGUAGGCGGUUUGUUAAGUCGGAUGUGAAAUCCCUCGGCUCAACUGAGGAAGUGCAUCCGAAACUGGCAAGCUUGAGUACGAAAGAGGAUCGCGGAAUUCCCGGUGUAGAGGUGAAAUUCGUAGAUAUCGGGAGGAACACCGGUGGCGAAGGCGGCGAUCUGGGUCGAUACUGACGCUGAGGUGCGAAAGCGUGGGGAGCAAACAGG